rnacentral:rRNA from 1 species
ACGUAGGGGGCAAGCGUUAUCCGGAUUUACUGGGUGUAAAGGGUGCGUAGGCGGGAAAGCAAGUUGAAUGUGAAAUACCGGGGCUCAACUCCGGGGCUGCGUUCAAAACUGUUUUUCUUGAGUACAGCAGAGGAAAGCGGAAUUCCCAGUGAAGCGGUUUUAUGCGUCGAUUUUGGGAGGAACACCUGUGGCGACGGCAGCUAGCUGGGCUGCAACCGAUACUGAUGCACGGAAUUGUGCGGAGCAAACAG